AACGCACAUUGCGCCCUCUGGUAUUCCGGGGGGCAUGCCUGUCCGAGCGUCAUUUGCAACCUCUCAAGCGCGGCUUGUGUGUUGGACCAGCGUACCGACGUGCCCACCCGUCCGGGUGGUCGUGGGUACGGGUCCGAAAUGCAGUGGCGGCGUCGCGUCUCGACCUCGCAAGCGUAUGGGGCUCUGUCACACGCUGAGCGGUCGCGCGUACCUACGCCUGCCUCAACUACCACCUUUCUCAGGUUGACCUCGGAUCAGGUAGGGAUACCCGCUGAACUUAA
rnacentral:misc_RNA from 1 species